UGUUAAAAAUUUUCAUCAUUUUUUCCCAUUUAAAAAUUAGCAUGGUUGACAGAGUAACUAAAUAGUACAUGUACCUCAUUUUAACGUACGUAGAUCAGUUUUUAAAUAAUAGAAAUAAAUGAAAUUUUUAACA
rfam:Gossypium raimondii Chr01_contig_102, whole genome shotgun sequence.